GACGAACGCUGGCGGCGUGCUUAACACAUGCAAGUCGAACGAAGUGGCGAACGGGUGAGUAACGCGUAAUCAACCUGCCCUUCAGAGGGGAACACCAGUGGGAAACGACUGCUAAUACCGCUUACUGAAGGGGGGGAUGGCGUCUGAUUGGCUAGUUGGGGGGGUAACCGCCCACCAAGGCGAUGAGCAGAAGGCGGGCUGGGUGGGAGAACGGGCAAAAUGGGAAUGAGACACGGCCCAGAAUCCUACGGGAGGCAGCCGUGGGGAAUUAUCCGCAAUGGAGAAAAGUCUGAAGGAGCAACGCCGCGUGAGUGAUGACGGCCUUCGGGUUGGAAAGCUCUGUUAAUCGGGACGCGGUACCGGAAUAGAAAGCCACGGCUAACUACGUGCCAGCAGCCGCGGUAAUAC
rnacentral:rRNA from 1 species